AUUUUUUAAACAUAAAUAGUUAUUUAAAAUGAAAUACGAUAAAUAAAGAUAAAAUUUUUAAGUCUUUCAUAAAAUAAAACACAAAUAUAUGAAAAUGUGACAUUUAAUAAAUAUUUGUCAAUUGAGAAAAAAAAACAAAAAUAAAUCUGCGCUUUGAAAGCGCUGGUCAAAAUCUAGUUACUUAAUUAAUCCGGGAGUUGGACACUUUAAUCCCCUUAAAUAAACGAUUAUCUAAUUGAAAAGAAAAAUCAAAUAAAAUUUCCGCAUUAUACGUAAAGGCGAGACACGCACUUUGCUUCUCAUAAUUUGUUCGUGACAUCUACUUUACAUAACCUAACCUAACCUAAUCCCGCUUUCUGUAAUUAUUUGUUUAAGUUAUUUUCUACAGUUAACGAACACAUCAUUUUAGAGUUUUUCUUUUAAUAAAAACACAGUUUAAUAUUUUGUAUUACACUUAUACACCAUGUUCAAAAACUCGGCCACCCAGCUGAUUAAUCGACAGAUUAAGCGUGAAACGGUAGGUGACCAUGGCGAAUAUUAGAAUAACUAUGUUAUUAAGAUAAUGAUAACUUCUUGUAUUAGAGAUAAGUCCUACAUUUGAUAAAGAUGACCUAUGUAUAUCGUCUCCUAUGAUCUCUCCCUGUAAACUCUAUAUAUAGAAUACAUAUUAUGAUCAAGGAACCAAGUCCCAUGUAUGGUUGGUUAUUGCUGCAUUGAACUCUGUACAUGCUGAUUUGCGCCAUUGAUCAUUGGCCAGUGCUUGUUGGAUUGUGUUUGGUUCAAUGUAGGGAGAAAGUUCAAAAUGGAACGCUACGAGUCUCUCAUGUGUCAUCUAAGGAUCAACUCUCAGAUGGCUUAACCAAACCUCUAUCAAAAACUCGGUUUGGAACACUGUUUACCAAGAUUGGUAUCACUAACCGUGCACCAUCUUGAGGGAGGAUAUUAGAAUAACUAUGUUAUUAAGAUAAUGAUAACUUCGUGUAUUAGAGAUAAGUCCUAUACUUAAUAAGGAUGACCUAUGUAUAUCGUCUCCUAUGAUCUUUCCCUGUAAACUAUAUAUAUAAAGUACAUAUUAUGAUCAAUAAUACUCAAGCAAUUACAAUACUUCUUGUAGCGAAUUAGACCAAUCCGCUUGUAUUCCUUGUUGGAUCACAUAAUGGGCGUAGAAUGUGUAGAAUUGAAAAAAUCGUCCAAUCAAUAAUGCGUAGCGCCUAGCGGCUACUCCAUUAUUCCUUAGUGAUAUCUAAUUUGGCUCAAACCCAAAACAAUCAUGAUAUCCAAAUUUGCCCAAAACCCAAGCUAAUAAUUAAUCUCAAACCCAAAUCAAACCAUUUUAUGUACAAUUAUAUUUUUGUUAUAUAAUUUAGUAUAUAUUUACAAAUUUAUGAAUCUGAGUACCACUGAUCUUUUGUAAUAAACAUAUAUUAUACAUACAAAGUUUGUAUUAGAUGUAUAUAUGGAGUAUUAUACAUAAAAGUACAAAACAUUGGGGAAAUUAUGCUUUUACCCAAUUUUUUGUUUCAUUAUUCAUGUUUACGAUGGGCUUUUUUACAAAUACCUAAAUUAUGAGGUUUGAUUAAAGGACCGAAAGACCUUUCUAUCUUUGUUUUAUAGAUAUAUAAAUAUAAAUAAUUAUUUAAAUAAAUAAUAAAAGAUAAAAAGUUAUAGUUUUUGAAUUAUAUAUAUGUUACCAAAGUCAAAUUUUUUUAUCACUUUUUCGAAAUUUAUUCAAAUUUGUGUUUUUCAAAAAAAAAAUUGAAAUCCAAAAAAAAAUUUAAACUAUUUUAAAAUUUUUAUUUUAAAUUUAAGUAUUUGUUAAAAAAAAUUUUUUAACCCUACCAUUCAAAAUCCCACCCCUCAAAUUUAAAUCACAAGUAUAGAUUACUUAACUUUAUGGAUAUAAGUGUUUAUUUAUCUGUCAACACUAAAGGUAAAUAUGAUUAAGGUAAACAUGAAAAAUAGUAUUAAGAAUGUCGUAGUUUAAGUAAUUUUUCCAAAAAUUCCUCUCUGCGUACUCCACAAUUUUUUUCCGCUUUUCAUAACUCGCUAGGUCGGGUGCACCGCACAUGUAGUACCCAACGAAUUUCUGAACAAAGGUUAUAUACUAUAAUCAUAAUAAAAUAUUAUAUACAGUAAAAAUAUGUUGUUAAAAAUACAAAAUAGCUUAUCUUAAUUAUCAGUUAGUUUUAUCCAGAUAGUAGAACUGAAUUUUUAUUUAAUUAUAAAAAUUUCAAUUGUAGUCUGAUUAUUAAGUUACUUCUUUCUUAGCUAUAUGUCUUAUCUUACAAUACUAAAAUGGCUUAAUAUUCAGCUCUCAGCGUGUCCAAGUCAUCUUUAAAAAUCGUCCAAUCAUAUACUUAUAUUUUGCCAUGUCACUACUGUUUCUGCCGAGUUAAGAUCAAAACUAAACUUAGUUUGGGCUGCCAUUACUUUUCUUUACAGUCCAUAGCAAUCCCAAUCUCGCCCAACCCUAAUUUUGUCUGGAGCGUACGAGUUGAUCAUCUCCUACUCUUCCACUUCGUCUUCACCUUCUCGGUUGCUCUGUAAUCUCCGUUACCGCUUGCUCCUCUUGAUCAAUCAAUGCCUCUUUAUCUCUUAGUUAUUGUUUCCUUCUACCUUCCUCGCUUUUUCCUCAUAUAUAAAUUGCUAAACAGCUUCAUCGAGGCUUACUUCAAAGUAAACCCGAAAGUCUCCAUUGUUUUGUCGUCAACUUCAGCCGGAGACAUCGUCGGUUUGAUAUCCUGCGUCAAAGUCGCCGCCAGAACGUUAUAGGAAUCAGACGAAGUUGACCACCAAAUUUCUGGAGAAGUGCGCCACAAGAACCAUAUAUAAGCAGAAAGGCAUUCGCUGCUCAGACGCUCCGGCGAAGUCCACCACCGGUUCCAUCGAUAAGGGACUAGCUACUCUGGCGCUCCUCCAAAUUCACCGGCUGUUAUAUACUUCACCUAUGUUACUUCCGAUUUGGAACCUGUAAUCCUGCUUAAGCAGGCAUAUUAAUUUGUGUUUAGUUGCUGAAUAUUGACGAACAUGUAUUUUUUUUGUUAUAUUCGUCACUGCUACAUUCAAUUACAGGGAACUGUGAUCCAAAGUUUUUUUGCCACCAAAUCGUGUGAGAUGCUACCAAAGUCUUCUCAAGCGUGGGAGAUUUUUACAGUCUCUCCAAUUACUUCGAUACUAAGAACAAAGAAAUCUUUCUGAUGACUGAUCACAAUCUGACUAUUUGUUUCACCCACAACUCUGUCCUCUCAAAUAUUGAAGGUUACUUACCUCACAUAGACACACAUCGGUUUCGCUUUCAUUUCUUUGGAGCCAAAAUUGGUCGUUGACGUUAUCUAUAUGAUUUUGUUGGCCACAGGAAAUUAAUCAAUAGGCAGCACCCUAAGAGCAUCCAAUUCUCAAGGGUUUGAAUGGAUAGUUGUGACAGAUCACCAACAGAAGUUCCUUCUCAGUCACUUGAAAUCAUGACUACCAAAGUUUAACUGUCCAUUAUGAGAUUGUUGCCAAUUAUAUUGACCUAAAGAUAAUGCCUUAUUGGAAGGGUUAUGACUGAUGGUAGACUAAGUGCAAGAGUAAAAGCUUACUUAACUGAAAAUUUUAUCUUCAAGGCAUGCUCAGGUAAGUGCUACCACCGUCUAACCUUAUAUCUCCACAUCUCAGUGAUGGGCAUUGGUCCAUUAAAAUAGUUUAGUUCUGCAAUUUUAUAUGUCAUCAGAUGUUUCUUACAUGCUGAAAGGUUCCCAUACAAUUAUUUUUUUGCUAAUGCUCCCGUAUUCAAGUCCAUUCUAAAUGAUAUAUAUAUAUAUAUAUAUAUAUAUAUAUAUAUAUAUCAUGGCGAGUGCAAAUUUUUUUACGAUAAGGCACUCUGGGUAAUCAAGAAGAGAAGGUACAUAUACGUUAGUUUCGAUUUGAAGAUGUUGUUGACUGUUUUGUUGAUCGCAUAUUAUGAUUUUCUUCCUUUGCUAAUGAAAGGGAUGCUUUGAUUUCAUUGCAGAGAUGGUUUCACCUAUGGCUUAGACGAGAAGAGAGGAAAACCGCUUUCUCUGGUAAUCGAACGUUGCCUUUAUUUUUGUUUAGUCGCACACACGUUAACAGUGUGAUAGUGGUGCAUGAAAAGAAAUACAGCUUGGAGGAGUUGCAGAUAAUGGUCGAUGAUAUGGACUAUGGAUUACGACUUACCAUCAGAACCGUUAGUCGGAGAGUUCUUUGAUUAUAACGUUGGGAUGGGGUUGAAAUCAGAGGAUUUAUGUAAUGGAGAGAAGGGUUAGGCUGAUAAUUUGAAUCCUUGGUGUGGCUCAACAUUGUCGUUGAUGUAUACAUGGGAAGAACCUCAGCAGAUAGAUUGUUGAGAGCCGUUGCAGUGUGCUUCGUGGUUUGAAAACAGCUGUUCCAUAUGAUUAUCUUGACUUGAGUUCUGGUAACGAUUGGGAUCAAGUUUUUAAGAAAGCGGAAGAGGAGUUUCAGAAAGAGAAUUAGAGGUCGGAUGAAGUUGUUUGAGCCUUUUUUUUUCUACUUCAUCUUCCUCUUUAAAGUGUUAUCCCCAUGUUCUUAAAGUUGUAACCUUGAUUGUCUUUGUUGUGCCUCUUUGUUACUUUUUGGCAUUAUUUAUUUUCUAAGCAAUGGACCAGUACGAUCCAGUUUGGUUUAAGAUGUUUGAAUUAUACCACAAUUAAAAACAAGGUUUAAGAAAGAAGCUGUAGACAGUUGAUGUAAGAACAUUUGAGAUUCUGAAGUUGUCUGUAUAUCACAAAUCCCUCUCUUUUUAACAUAUUUCUGCACAUGCCGAGGCAAAGAAAAAGAUAAAAAAGGUUGUUCUUUUUUUUUAGAUUUAAAAGAACUAUAAAAUAUUAAAAUAAGUUAGAAAGAAGAUAUCAGUUCUUAUCAGUUCCAUGAAUCUAAGGAUAACAUUGUAUCCUAGUAUAAUUUCUGAUAAUAAAAAGAACUAAUUUCAUGGCUCAACUAUAUCAUUUAUGAGUAGAUUUGAGGAUAGAAUAAUAUGCUUUCAAAUUUAUAGUCAAAAUUACAUUUCUGACUCUACGAUAUAAUCGAAAUCAAUAAUUUUGACACACAUCUGAUAGAUAAACCACAUAAAACCACCUUUAAAUCACCAGCUAAAAAUAUAUAUUUGAUUCUUUACAUUUUUUUAUUAAAUUUCCGUUAAACUCCUUUCAAAUACCACUGCUAUAUAUUCCAUUUAAUAUUAUACACCACAUAAUUCACUAAAAUUUAAAUGAUUUUAGAAAUAUGGUUAUAGAUACUUUAAUCCAAUUACAUAACAUUUUAAGGAAUUUUUAAAAUACAUAAUUGAAAUAACAUUAGAAUUUAAUGUUUUCCCAAAUUUAAUUGGAACUUCUAGAUCUAGUGCAUUUGCCUAAAAUCAUAUUCGAUUUAAUUCGAUUUAUUUAAACCCAUAGAAUUAUAUUAUUUUUUUCAGAAAUAGUGAGAAUUUCUUAUCUCUCUCAGUAUUUCUCUCAAUUCAAAAUCCAUGAUUUGAAUUGAUGUCCUUUCAUUUAUUAUUAAAAUAAAUUACAAAAUUAUUUAUUAUUUAUUAUUAAAAUAAAUUGCAAAAUUAAAUUAAUCUGUAUACUUUCUAUCAUUUUUGUUUAAUUAUUUUUGUUGUAUUUUAAAUUUUUCAAAACGAGUAUAAAUUACUAAAACUGAUAAAAGUCUCACAUAAACUUUUGUGAUCAAAGUUUAAAAUUUUUCUAUAAUAAGAUACAAAGAUUAUAAAAUCAUAUGAAUAAAUAAUUUUAUUUUAAUAGGUGUUUAUGUUAAUAUAUAUAUAUAUAUAUAUAUAUAUAUAUAUUUCAUAUCGUUUAAAUUAAACUAUACAUCAUAUGAAAAUACAUAAUUAUAUUUUAAAAUAUGCGUUGAACAUAUAUUGAAAAGUUAAAACAGUUUCAGAUUACAUUUGUGACGGAUUGUUCUCAAUUGCUGAAGGUUUCGGAACCAGAAGAAUUGCCAGCAUUUGAAAGUUAUCUGAAAGACAUCAAGUUUUUACAAAGAAGUUUUCUCAACUCAGACAUUAUUCAUGUACCUCGGACGGAGAACCUACAGGCGGAUAGUUUAGCACACAGUGAAAACAACCGUCUUUCGCCACUCACAUGGAUGUGGAGUUACCGAUUUGGUUUACAGAGUCAAUUUGAGUCUGUGAAUGUCUUGUUGUCAAAAAAAAGUUAAUAUUUUAGUUUUGAAAUCUUCAUUGUUUUUUUAAAUGAUUAUAAAUUAUUGAGACCACUAAACAUUCCACAUUAAAAAACAAAUCGUUGGUGUAAACUUUUGUUACACAAUAUGCAAAUAAUCAUAAAAUCAUAUGAGUAGAAACCUUAUUUAAUAAAUAAACAUAUUAAAAGUAUAUUGUAUAUAUAUAUAUAUUUAUGUCAAUAUCAUUUAAAUUUAAUUAUAUAUCAUAUAUGAUAGGUAAGAUUGAUUGUUUUGAUUUAUUUACCCUAAAAUGAUUGCGAAUAAACAAGAGUAGUCGUUUGAUUUAUAUGCACACACCAAUUUAUUACAUAACAGUAACUGAUUUCUUAGUUAUUUAAUAUAUAAUUAUUAUUUUAUUAUUUCAUAAUACGCAGAAAAACAUAAAAUAAGUAAUAAAUAUAAAAUAUUUAUUAUGCACAAGGCGCAUAUCUUAACCUAAGUAUAUAUCUCUUUAAUAAUUUUAAAUUUUAAACAUUUUUUAAAUCUGAGGCCAAAACAAAAUAACGAAAUGAGAAUAAAUUCAAAAAUCAACAUUUAUAUCAACAAUAAUCAAAAUGAAAAAAACGACAAAAAA